AUUGAACGCUGGCGGCAGGCCUAACACAUGCAAGUCGAACGAGUGGCGGACGGGUGAGUAAUGUAUGGGAAACUGCCCGAUGGAGGGGGAUAACUACUGGAAACGGUAGCUAAUACCGCAUACCAUCGGAUGUGCCCAGAUGGGAUUAGCUAGUAGGUGGGGUAACGGCGCACCGAGGCGACGCUCCCUAGCUGGUGUGAGAGGAUGACCAGCCCCAAUGAAACUGAGACAAGGUCCAGACUCCUACGGGAGGCAGCAGUGGGGAAUAUUGCACAAUGGGCGCAAGCAUGAUGCAGCCAUGCCGCGUGUAUGAAGAAGGCCUUCGGGUUGUAAAGUACUUGCAGCGAGGAGGCGUUACUCGCAGAAGAAGCACCGGCUAACUCCGUGCCAGCGGCGGCGGUAAUUC
rnacentral:rRNA from 1 species